UGCCCAUUGGCCCAGUGGUUAAGGCGUCUGACUGUUACACAGUAACAUCAGAAGAUCCCUGGUUCGACCCCAGGAUGGGCAG